ACCCAGGUAGCCCAACCGGCAGGAGGCGUCCCGUUCAGAGCGGGAACAGUGUGGGUUCGAAUCCCACCCGGGGUA
rnacentral:tRNA from 1 species